ACUUCCGGCGGGCGGGCUCGGAAAGGAGAGCGUGGUGUCUGGAGGUGAUCGGAAGGGACUGGCUGGAGUGUGGCGGGCUGACAGGUCUGAGGCCUGAAGGACUUCCGGGAACCGCAAAGCACGGUGUGCCUCCGUUGUCCUGAUGAAAAAGCCGCGCGCGGACGACUGGCCGGCCCACGCUUGCAGCUCCCAGAAGUUGACAGGCAUCCUCCGGUGACCGGUGUGAGUAUGGUAUCAGGAUGAUAUGACUGCAAGCAACAGAAAAAUCAAACAAAAAUGGCCCAAGCCAAGAAGAGAAAUGAUUAUUUCACAUUCCAAGAAGUUUGGGAGUCGAGUGGUUAAACGGCUAAUUAAUCUAGAGCUCAACAAUAUCACCCAGGACCCAUUUUCACUAUGGUGGCUAAAGCCCUGCACCCUUCAGGCUUGCACCAUGGCAGCAGCAGUGACAGUAAAGACACCCUUACACCACAAUGCUCCAUGACCAGGAAAAGGGUCUCCUCUCUCCUGCCCCUUUCUGGAGGCUCCACCGAAGAUUUCUCUUCACAUUCCGUUUCUCAUUCCUGAAGCAGUCGCUGGCAACAGGGAUGGACUUACCGCAUUGGGUACAGAGCAAUGAAGAUUCACCACUAGAGACAAGUUCUCACUCUGUCGCUCAGGCUGGAGUGAAGUGGCGUGAUCUCAGCUCACUGCAGCCUUGAACUCCCGGGCUCAAGUGAUCCUCCUGCCUCAGCCUCCCGAGUAGCUAGGACUACAGCAGAUCUGCAUUAUAAGAAAAAUGAGGAGAAUUCCUUCAGGAAGAAGAAAAAUGAUACCAGAUGGAUAUGUGGAUCCACAUAAAGGAACGAAGAGCACAGGAAAUAGUAACUAUGCUGUCUUUCUCUGUCACCCAGGCUGGAGUGUGGUGGUGCGAUCUUGGCUUACCUCUAGACUGGUUGGAUCCAGGAGUGUCGACCAUGACGCCUGUGAUGGGUGAAGGAAGGCUUCACACUUUUCUGCCCCUACAGUGAGGACUCGGCAAUGAAGCAUGGACCCCUGCUGAAAGGAAAAAUUUCAAUUGCACAUGAAGAAAAUAUGCUGAAAUAGACUACAGAAUAUUUAGAUCUUGGUCACUGAGUGAAAAUAUGCUGGAAUAGACUACAGAAUAUUUAGACCUAGCACUCUCCUACCGUAAAAUACAACCCGGUUCUGGUUGGAUUGGCCUUCACCUGCUUAACCUAUUUUCCUUGGUCUUUUCACACUCUGUGAUUUAAUAUUUAUUUCAAUUCCCUGAUUCAAACCAACCAUGUGUCCAGAGUGACUUUGUAAACCCAGUCCGGGCUGAACCGAGGCUGAAACUCCAAUUCCCUCUGGGCCUUUAAGGCUUACAGAUCUCAGGAGUGAACAUUUUCUUACCAAGUCACUGCUCUCAAAACAAACCCUGGAAUGGAAGCUUCAUUAUCUUGUGGCCAUCAGUCCACCUUUCUUCCCCUUCUGCCCUGUUGAGUUUAUGUGUGUUUUAUCUCCCUCCCGAGAGGGACUAUACUUUGUUGGUGUUAAAGUGAUCACGCUGGAGAGUUUAUAUAUUCUCUCAUUUUCAAAAAAAUCUAUCUUUGAUUCCUAAAUGCCUACAUUCACAGCACUUUACAGCUGAAAGUGGUUGAGGUUGGGGCAUUCACUGGAACAUCUUGAGAGAGUGAAACUGAAGCUUCAGAAAGGCGAAGCGACUUACCCAAGACCAAGUGGCUAUUCCGUUUUGAGAGUAGUAACUUUUCCCAGUAAUGGGGCUACAGGAAUGUGCCACCAUGCCCUGCUAAUUUUUAUUUUUAUUUUUUUUUGGUAGAGAUGAGGCUUCAUCAUCUUGCCCAGGCUGGUCUCAAACUCUCGGGCUCAAGUGAUCCACCCAUCUAGGUCUCCCAAAAUGAAAAACUUUUUAUAUAGUGAAAAAUUAGUCCGGGCACAAUGGCUCACACCUGCAAUUCCAGCACUUUGAGAAGCAGAGGUGGGUGCAUCAGUUGAGGCCAGGAGUUCAAGACCAGCCUGGCCAACAUGGUGAAACCCAUAUCUACUAAAAAUACAAAAAUUAGUCAGUCAUGGUGGCGCACCCCUGUCAUCCCAGCUACUCAGAAGGCUGAGGCAGGAGAAUCGCUUGAACCUGGGAGGCAGAGGUUGCAGUGAGCUGAGAUUGUGCCACUGCACUCCAGCCUGGGCAACAGAGUGAGACUGUGAAAAGAAAGAAAGAAAGAAAGAAAGAAAGAAAGAAAGAAAGAAAGAAAGAAAGAAAGAAAGAAAGAGAAGAAAGAAAGAGAGAGAAGGAGAGAGGGAGGAAGGAAGGGAAGUUAAACAUAUAUAAUAAAAGUAGAUAGCAUAGUGUAUCAACCCCCAUAAUCCUGAAACUCAAGAACCAUCACUGAUGAUUGGUCAGAUGUGAGAGGUGCCCUCCAUAUACCUGGAGGAAACGAGCAUCUUUCUCUCUGAACACACAGGGACACGGAAAAAAUCUGAACAAACAGGCCCUACUAAGUCCCCUCAGUUUAUUACCAUUGGAUCCUACUGUCACGGAGAAUCUUAUUUCUUCACAACUCUCCGUUCUUCAUCAAGCCUAGCUCAGGUUUGUCUGGUCUUUGCUCCCUUAUGAAGGCCCCUAUGUCACAUAAAAUGUACAUUAAAUACAUUUGUAUGCUU